rnacentral:tRNA from 1 species
GCCGCCAUGGUGGAACUGGUAGACACAAGGGACUUAAAAUCCCUCGGUAGAAAUACUGUGCGGGUUCGAUUCCCGCUGGCGGCACCA